GGACCUCUCACUGGGCUCCACCUGCUAAUGGAAACCCUGGGAUCAAGUAUUUAACACAAGAGCAUUUGAAGGACAUUCAACAACUAAACUACAGCAGUGUGGAAGCUGGCUGAAGGAGGAGACUAAAUAGCACCAGUAGCAGGACACCUAAUGGACCUGAAGAGGUCUUCGGCUUCUAUUCAGGACUCUUACAGCAAAAUACGGCACAGGUCUCAGAGGCAAGACAAGGGAAGUACACAGACACCUCAGCAGUGCUGCCUGGAAAGACGUCACAAAUGGACAUCAGCUGGGAUUGCUGGGAUUGGAUUGAGGACAACCCCACCCCCUUAACAAUGCUUCUCCUGACUCACCCCCAGCAUUCAAAGACAUUUAAUAACCAGCUGUCUCUGUCAGACCAACAGAGACAAGGAAAAGGACAGGAAGAGGAAAUGAAACUUGUUAAAUUAAAGGAGCAAUGAUGGAGAAAAAACAAAGUGCAGCUAUCUCGAUUUGUUCUCACCCAGCAUUCACCUUGGGAAGGUGGAGAGUGAUAUGCAUCUCAAGGUUGAAUUGAGAUCUUCAUCUGGGGCAGCCACAGGUCCCAAAGUCAGAAUGUGGAUAUCUUCAAGGGACCAUUGCUCAGCUCUUCAUAGAAAGAAUAGGAACAGAAACUGAAUACCAGAUUUGCAGAGGCACUUGCCCCUGUCACUGCUCACUGCGGCCAUGAUCAACUCUACCGUGUUCUUCUGUAUCAUGGCUGAUGGUGAGCCCUUGUGCUUUAUGCGGUUUUCAGACAGAGUUCCAAAGACAGUAGAAAACUUUCGUGCUCUGAGCCAUGGAGAGAAAUGAUUUGGAUGGAAGGUUCCUCGUUUCACAAAUGGCUCCCUGUUUCAUUUGCACUACCAAGACUGAGUAGCUGGAUGGCAAACAUGUGGUCUUUGGAAGGUGAAAGAAGGCAUGAACAGCGUGGAAGCCAUGGAGUGUUUCGGGUCCAGGAAUGGCAAGACCAGCAAGAAGACCACUGCUUGCAACUAUGGACAAAUGUAAUAUUAGAUCUCCAGAAAAUUCAGGCUCCUCUUCACUGUAGAAGUUGGUCUGAUGUCCUCGUUUUUUGAUGGCCUUGAGACCUCUGUGGUGCACUGGUUAGGAUUUUUUAGGCUACUGCAAAGAUGGGAUUCCUGAAGAGGCUUUCUAAUGCUCUAAUGCUGUGGGUGAUUGAUGAAACAUCCUUGAAGUUAAGUGCAUUUUUAUCCCAUUGUGUCAAGGAUCAUAUUGUCAACAUGACUUACAACUACCUAGCCUUAACCUUGGUCAUUGGCUGAGCAGUAGGUGACAGUCUUCCCUACAACUAUGUCUUCCUCUCUCCAAUUUCCAUACCACAAAACUUGAGAAGAAGUCACUCUGCUUAUAUCAGGAUUUUGCUUCCUUUCUUUGGGGGAGUAGAGUAAUCUAUCCCCAUGCAUUAUUUGGAAUUGAGAAUUUUUUCAUCUGUGCUUAUCAAGAUUGGUCUGUGUCAGAGGUUUCUCCAAACGGAGGCCUAGAGUGGCCAUUGUGUGAAACUGUGAAGUUAAAGCUUGGCUUGUCCUGGAGACCCCAAGAUGUGGGAGAUGCCAGAGUCAUGGGAUAUCUGCCAAGGAGAGCUGCUAACAGGAAGUGGAACCAGCCCAAGAGAAAGAAGUGUGUUGCGGUCAACAAAGCUGAAUGGAGCUGGCGAUAUGAAGAAUGUUUUGACAUUACACACAGAGAUGCAAAGUUUGGAGUUUGCUCACCUGAUUUUCGUUCUUGCUUUGGUCCAGUAUUUCCUCACUAUGUUCCCUUCCAUAUGUUUUGGAAUGGUUAUGUAUAUCUUGUGCUAUUAAAUAUUGAAAUUAUGUGAUGUGCUUUUUUAGUUUUAAUAUUAUAUGUGAUUACAGUUAAGAAAUUGCAUGAAUCUCAAAGCAUUGGGCUUUUAUACAUUGUUGAAACUGUGAUAGACUUUGGGGAUUUUUGAAGUUGGACUGAAUGCAUUUUAUGAAAUGGCUACAAGCCUUUGGGGGCAGAGAGUAGAAUGUGGCCGUUUGAAAGAGAACAGUCCCCAAAGGGACUGCUAUCAUUA
ensembl:lncRNA